UGACGAACGCUGGCGGCGUGCUUAACACAUGCAAGUCGAACGGAAAGGCCCUGCUUUUGUGGGGUGCUCGAGUGGCGAACGGGUGAGUAACACGUGAGUAACCUGCCCUUGACUUUGGGAUAACUUCAGGAAACUGGGGCUAAUACCGGAUAGGAGCUCCUGCUGCAUGGUGGGGGUUGGAAAGUUUCGGCGGUUGGGGAUGGACUCGCGGCUUAUCAGCUUGUUGGUGGGGUAGUGGCUUACCAAGGCUUUGACGGGUAGCCGGCCUGAGAGGGUGACCGGCCACAUUGGGACUGAGAUACGGCCCAGACUCCUACGGGAGGCAGCAGUGGGGAAUAUUGCAUAAUGGGCGGAAGCCUGAUGCAGCAACGCCGCGUGCGGGAUGACGGCCUUCGGGUUGUAAACCGCUUUCGCCUGUGACGAAGCGUGAGUGACGGUAAUGGGUAAAGAAGCACCGGCUAACUACGUGCCAGCAGCCGCGGUGAUACGUAGGGUGCGAGCGUUGUCCGGAUUUAUUGGGCGUAAAGGGCUCGUAGGUGGUUGAUCGCGUCGGAAGUGUAAUCUUGGGGCUUAACCCUGAGCGUGCUUUCGAUACGGGUUGACUUGAGGAAGGUAGGGGAGAAUGGAAUUCCUGGUGGAGCGGUGGAAUGCGCAGAUAUCAGGAGGAACACCAGUGGCGAAGGCGGUUCUCUGGGCCUUUCCUGACGCUGAGGAGCGAAAGCGUGGGGAGCGAACAGGCUUAGAUACCCUGGUAGUCCACGCUGUAAACGGUGGGUACUAGGUGUGGGGUCCAUUCCACGGGUUCCGUGCCGUAGCUAACGCUUUAAGUACCCCGCCUGGGGAGUACGGCCGCAAGGCUAAAACUCAAAGGAAUUGACGGGGCCCCGCACAAGCGGCGGAGCAUGCGGAUUAAUUCGAUGCAACGCGUAGAACCUUACCUGGGUUUGACAUGGAUCGGGAGUGCUCAGAGAUGGGUGUGCCUCUUUUGGGGUCGGUUCACAGGUGGUGCAUGGCUGUCGUCAGCUCGUGUCGUGAGAUGUUGGGUUAAGUCCCGCAACGAGCGCAACCCUUGUUCACUGUUGCCAGCACGUUAUGGUGGGGACUCAGUGGAGACCGCCGGGGUCAACUCGGAGGAAGGUGGGGAUGACGUCAAGUCAUCAUGCCCCUUAUGUCCAGGGCUUCACGCAUGCUACAAUGGCUGGUACAGAGAGUGGCGAGCCUGUGAGGGUGAGCGAAUCUCGGAAAGCCGGUCUCAGUUCGGAUUGGGGUCUGCAACUCGACCUCAUGAAGUCGGAGUCGCUAGUAAUCGCAGAUCAGCAACGCUGCGGUGAAUACGUUCCCGGGGCUUGUACACACCGCCCGUCAAGUCAUGAAAGUUGGUAACACCCGAAGCCGGUGGCCUAACCGUUGUGGGGGAGCCGUCGAAGGUGGGACUGGU
rnacentral:rRNA from 1 species